GGCAGCCAAGAAUCCUGCUGUGGUGCAAAAAGAAUAGCAUCCACGGAGCCACCACAAUCCGGGGUUUCUCCUCUUUUAACAAUCGCAUCGGCAGAGAGAAAUAAUUAUUCCUUGUAUCAGUGUUAAAAGAGUCAAAAAGCUUAAAAUGCUUGGUGAACCUUCUCAAAGCAGGGAACGUUUCGUGAAGAGUUGGGCCUAGCAAUAUGGCAGCGCACGUUCGAUAAGAAAUGUUGUAAAUGCUGCUACCGAGAUGCUGGAUUCCUGCAACUUCUCCUCUUGGUAUGAUUUGGAUGGAAAUUUUGGGUGCUUGAAAACUUUGGGAAAGCUGUGUACUUUUAAGCGUUUGAGCAGUGCAAUGUGUGACAUUCCUAAAAAGCACCAUGGCAACAUGGCAGUGUUACUGCCUUCGCAGUCAGCAAUCAGAAGGCUCCAAAGGUAAUAGGAA